rnacentral:rRNA from 1 species
GACGAACGCUGGCGGCGUGCUUAACACAUGCAAGUCGAACGGAAAGGCCCUUCGGGGUACUCGAGUGGCGAACGGGUGAGUAACACGUGGGUGAUCUGCCCUGCACUUUGGGAUAAGCCUGGGAAACUGGGUCUAAUACCGAAUAGGACCACGCGCUUCAUGGUGUGUGGUGGAAAGCUUUUGCGGUGUGGGAUGGGCCCGCGGCCUAUCAGCUUGUUGGUGGGGUAAUGGCCUACCAAGGCGACGACGGGUAGCCGGCCUGAGAGGGUGACCGGCCACACUGGGACUGAGAUACGGCCCAGACGCCUACGGGAGGCAGCAGUGGGGAAUAUUGCACAAUGGGCGCAAGCCUGAUGCAGCGACGCCGCGUGAGGGAUGACGGCCUUCGGGUUGUAAACCUCUUUCACCAGGGACGAAGCGUAAGUGACGGUACCUGGAGAAGAAGCACCGGCCAACUACGUG